rnacentral:rRNA from 1 species
UACGAAGGGUGCAAGCGUUACUCGGAAUUACUGGGCGUAAAGCGUGCGUAGGCGGUUUUUUAAGUCCGUUGUGAAAGCCCUGGGCUCAACCUGGGAAUGGCAGUGGAUACUGGAAAGCUAGAGUGCGGUAGAGGGUAGUGGAAUUCCCGGUGUAGCAGUGAAAUGCGUAGAGAUCGGGAGGAACACCAGUGGCGAAGGCGGCUACCUGGACCAGCACUGACACUGAGGCACGAAAGCGUGGGGAGCGAACAGG